GCUAGUCUGCAUCAAUAGGGCCUUCUACGAAGAUUAGGAGUAAUGCUUCUUGGAACUCUGAUGAUGAUGAUUUUCAACAAGGGAGACCAGUAUUACAGAAUAUAAGUCAACUCUUAAAUCAGACCACUGGUGUAAUAAGAAAAAGAAGUCGAGCUGAACGCUCUAAGAAAGCUGAAAGAGGGUCGUCUCUACCUCUACAAAAGCGACAAUGUGGUG